rnacentral:tRNA from 1 species
UAGAUGAAUGCCCGUAAGUUUAGGCGCUUAGCUGUUAACUAAGAGUUCGAGGGAUCAAGGCCCUCUCAUCUAG